rnacentral:rRNA from 1 species
UACGGGGGGGGGCAAGCGUUGUUCGGAAUUACUGGGCGUAAAGGGCUCGUAGGCGGCCCUCUCAGUCGGAUGUGAAAUCCCCAGGCUUAACCUGGGAACGGCAUCCGAUACUGGAGGGCUUGAAUUCGGGAGAGGGAUGCAGAAUUCCAGGUGUAGCGGUGAAAUGCGUAGAUAUCUGCAGGAAACACCCGUGGCGAAAAGCGGCGCGCUGGACCACUACUGACGCUGAGGAACGAAAAGCUAGGGGGAGCAAACAGG